GCUGAGGGGAGCUUGGGACAGUUUAUAACUGGACCGAGUACCCGUGGCCAAGGCUAGGGGGCUCUUUUUUUCUUCCCUCACUGCUUGGGGAGGUGGUGACGUGGACCUAAGGCUCACUACUGGAGCUGAGCCAGGAGAUGGGCCAAAGGGCUCGGAGGUGCCCUACGUGGGUUUGGACGAGGGCAGCCAAAAACUGAAAGCUGCAGCAGCUAGGGAAGAGAGGAAGCCAAACUGGCAGGCUUUUUCUGGCUCAGGAGGAGACCUCAGCAGGAGCUGAGGGCUGGUGGGGGUGCAAGAGACCCCUUUCCCAGAUACCCCAAUGAGAGAGAGACUUUUCACUAUCGCCCUGAAGACUUCUCCUGAAGUGAUGUGGGAGGGUCCAAGGGAUGGUAGGGAUUGUGUUAAUAUUGUGUAUAUAAUUGCUUUUUAGUUUCUCUAGUAUUUAUUGUGUAUAGUAAUAAAUUGUAUAUAAUCCCCUUCCCCCAUA